rnacentral:SRP_RNA from 1 species
GCCGAGCUCAGUCACGCGAGCUUGUAACCUGAGUGGGGGCUUUAAGGUGGUGUGGACGCUGUUGCAGCGUUGUGGGCCUGGUUUGGAUGUGCAAUUGCUGGCCCGCCGUUCCAAGUUGAGUAGUGGACUGCUGGGGGCCUAUGCGAAAGCUGGGCCUCACGGGCCAUGAUGUGGCAGGCAAAGCGUGAGGCUGGUUUCACAGAGCAGCGACAACUGCCCGCUUCCAACGGUGGAAGGAUAACGGGCUGCUGCACAUCUGGGCCGGUUGGGCCUCACAGCCUGCUCCAUCGAACCACCAUUUUU